rnacentral:lncRNA from 1 species
UCUGGCGCGGGAUUCAGCCCUGUUUUGGCGCAAGCUUGGCUCUGUUCGGGCUGCAUCAUUAGCUCUGUUCGGGCUGCAUCAUUUAGUUCGUUCUUGUUGUUUUCUUUCUCUUUUCGCUUGGGUUUUUUUUUUGUCUUUUUCUGGUUUUGGUUUUUCCGGUCGUUCCUUGUUUGCACCUGUGCUCUCAAGGGUUUUUGUUUUUCUUCAAUAAAACUUCUAUUUCAGCUCAUUUUGUAGUGCAGCAUCAUGUUGGAUGGAUUUAGAAACAGUCUUCCAUUUAGUCCAUAAGGGAAGAUGUACCAGGUCUUCCUUCAUUCCAUCAGAAUAUGGGCGAUGACAGAUUAGGAUGAGAUGAGGAUUGGAUUGAUGCUUGUUGAAGGUGUGUAGCUCUCUGUAAAG